UUUGAGGACCCUGGUGCAGGCUGCAGCAUCACUACUGGACCUGAAGUGAUUUGUUACGAGUACCAUGUAGUGUACUCCAGCAGCUAUCAAUCACCGGUGCUUUACUGCAGAGCUUGCAAGUUAGAUGGCAGGCCCUUCUCUCUAGAGGAAAUCUGGGAAAGUGUUCAUGAUAACUACAAGGAUCGUUUAUUGCAAGGAACUUGGGACACCAUCACCCAGCAGGCUCAGCUCACCACUACCACCCCUACGCUAACUCG